rnacentral:rRNA from 1 species
ACCUACGGGGGGCAGCAGUAGGGAAUCUUCCACAAUGGACGAAAGUCUGAUGGAGCAACGCCGCGUGAGUGAAGAAGGGUUUCGGCUCGUAAAAAUCUGUUGGGAGGGGAGAAAGAUAGAGGUAGUAACUGGCCUUUAUUUGACGGUAAUGACUUAGAAAGAGACGGCUAACUACGUGCCAGCAGCCGCGGUAAUACGUAGGGGGCAAGCGUUGUCCGGAUUUAUUGGGCGGAAAGCGAGUGCAGGCGGUUUCA